rnacentral:rRNA from 1 species
CCAGCAGCUGCGGUAAUUCCAGCUCCAAUAGCGUAUAUUAAAGUUGUUGCAGUUAAAAAGCUCGUAGUUGAAUUUUGGGCCGGGUUGGGUGGUCACUCGCAAGGGUUGCACUGCCUGUACCUGGCCUUUCCUUCUAGGGAUCCCGUGUGCUCUUAGUUGAGUGCGCGGGGGAACUAGGACCUUUACUUUGAAAAAAUUAGAGUGUUUAAAGCAGGCCUUUGCUUGAAUACUUCAGCAUGGAAUAAUAGAAUAGGACUUUGGCCCUAUUUUGUUGGUUUCUAGGACCGAAGUAAUGAUUAAUAGGGAUAGUUGGGGGCAUUAGUAUUUAAUUGUCAGAGGUGAAAUUCUUG